rnacentral:rRNA from 1 species
AUUGAACGCUGGCGGCAGGCCUAACACAUGCAAGUCGAGCGGAUGAAGGGAGCUUGCUCCUGGAUUCAGCGGGGACGGGUGAGUAAUGCCUAGGAAUCUGCCUGGUAGUGGGGGAUAACGUCCGGAAACGGGCGCUAAUACCGCAUACGUCCUGAGGGAGAAAGUGGGGGAUCUUCGGACCUCACGCUAUCAGAUGAGCCUAGGUCGGAUUAGCUAGUUGGUGGGGUAAAGGCCUACCAAGGCGACGAUCCGUAACUGGUCUGAGAGGAUGAUCAGUCACACUGGAACUGAGACACGGUCCAGACUCCUACGGGAGGCAGCAGUGGGGAAUAUUGGACAAAGGGCGAAAGCCUGAUCCAGCCAUGCCGCGUGUGUGAAGAAGGUCUUCGGAUUGUAAAGCACUUUAAGUUGGGAGGAAGGGCAGUAAGUUAAUACCUUGCUGUUUUGACGUUACCAACAGAAUAAGCACCGGCUAACUUCGUG